ACCUCUUCCCAUUCCGAACAGAGAAGUUAAACCUUAUCACGCCGAUGGUACUGCGAAAGCGGGAGAGUAGGUAAUCGCCCCCU
rnacentral:rRNA from 1 species